AUGGCUUCAGCUGAUCAGCUCCUUGUCAAACAUCAUUCAUUAUUUCAUCAUCAAUUGACAUAGCUAUAUCGUCGUCCUACAGUGGCACAUUGCAUAAGAACUUUUAUGUUGACACUGUAUAACUACUGUUGUAAUUAAGUUUCAUGCUAAACUAGACUUUUUGGUAUUUCCAGGUCGAUCACAGAGAGGAGUCAAGAUGGUGGGGCCCGCCAGUGGAUCCCACAGUCUUUCUUUUCCUCUCUUUCUUUUAUUUUUUCUCUCUCUCUUAUCCUUCCCUUCUCUCGGUUCCUUUUCCUGCUCUCUCGAUUUCUUCUCUGUUUUCUCUCUCGUUCUCUUCUCUGCCUUUGGCUCCUUCACGCGCGCCCGAGAGGAGAGAGGCGCCGGAGAUGGCGGCCUGGCGCAGGGCGGCGGUGGGGGAAGGAGAGAGGAGAAAGGGGCGGCAUCGGUGGGGAGGAGGAGGCUGGGGCGGUGCGGCGGCGCUCGGCGCUUGGCUCGGUGGCACGGAAGCCGGCGGUGGAGCGUGGGGGAGGGAAGGUGGCCGGCUGCGAUGGAGGCCGUCGGGGCGAAGGAGGUUGCGGCCGGCGUCGGCGACCUGGUGGCGGCGCCCAACAUGGCGCGGCGGUGCCCCAGCGCCGAUGAAGACGACGAUGCGUUUGGUCUAG
rnacentral:lncRNA from 2 species